GUGUGUGUAUAUAAUGCAGUGUGUUUGUGUAGUGUGCAUUAUAUAAACACACUACACAAACACACUGCAUUAGAUACACAAACUA